UACGUAGGGUGCAAGCGUUGUCCGGAAUUAUUGGGCGUAAAGAGCUCGUAGGCGGUUUGGCGCGUCUGCUGUGAAAACUCGGGGCUUAACUCCGGGCCUGCAGUGGGUACGGGCAGACUAGAGUGCGGUAGGGGAGACUGGAAUUCCUGGUGUAGCGGUGAAAUGCGCAGAUAUCGGGAGGAACACCAAUGGCGAAGGCAGCUCGCUGGGACGUGACUGACGCUGAGACGCGAAAGCGUGGGGAGCAAACAGG
rnacentral:rRNA from 1 species